CGCAAUAGUGAGGGGAUUUUUGUGUUGGCUAGUCGUCGCCUAUUUUACUUAUCAUCUCGAUUGCUUAACCAAUGCGCAAAAAGAGUGACGAUACAAC
rnacentral:antisense_RNA from 1 species